GACAGUAACGGUAACCUCGUGAUGGUGGUAGUGGUCCUACGAUAUCCAAGUAUAUGUGCAUGUACGAGCCCAUUCGCCGAUGUCCUUGUUUAUGGCCGGCCACACAAAUUUGGACGCUAUGUUCUUCCUAGUCACCCUGCCGCUGGAGUGAGCUGUAUUAUGGACGACAUCGAAGAUCCUCUUUCUUAGGGGUUUUGGAAUUUCACCUGGAUUUUGAGGAGGCUUUUAAGCUCCUCGUCCGUCUGCUGUUCCGCCGCUAUGUCCUCUGUCGUGAUGAUGACAGGCAACGUGAUGUCGUUCAUUCGUGAUAGUGCGUCAGCUACGU